CACGCAGAUGCCAGCCACCAUAGAUACUGUGUUUACGAAAGAAGUGACACGGAUUUAGAGUGAGAAACAAUAUCAGCAGAAAUAUGAUGCAGAGAAAGGAAAAUCACACUAUUCUAUCAUGAAAGAACCACCGGAUGUUAAGUAUUGUACAAGAGAGAUGCUCAACAAAUGCACAGUUAUACACAAAUUGUCGACAGGCCAGACAUCAAAAAAGCG